rnacentral:lncRNA from 10 species
CACUAUUUAAUAAAAGCUUUAUUAAAAUGAAGCCAAAACAUUAACACCAUUUAUAUGUACAAGACCAUUAAACAUUUUUUCUAUCUUUAAUAAAUGUUCUUCCAUUUUUGUCAUUUAUUACUUUCCUAAUUUGAAAAAUUGAUUAAUGUGAAGAAACAUUACUAAAUUAAACAAAUGUAAAGUUUAAAUUUAAUUAUUAAAUGGUUGAGUUUAAAGUUGACAGCUAGUUUAAGGUAGAAGACCUUCAUAAUCCAAUUACUUUUACUUGGUUUCAGAACUACCCCUAGGCAAAUUCUCCUAAAAUAGAAACUACAUGCAAGAAAAACACAAGCGAUGUUCAUCAUUUAAGAUAAACUUUAAAAGUUAAAUUUUUAAAAUUAAUUUUAAUAAAAAUUGGUUUGUUACCAGUUAGCUAUAUAACCUAGAGCCAAUCAAUCUCUGUGUGUUUUCUCUUUUGUUAAAUGUAGAACUUAAUUCUUGCUCUAUAUACCUCUCAGGAUUGUGAGAAUAAAGAUGAUACAUGUCAAAUCAACUUGGAAAUUAUGGCACUAUUGUAGAGGUGGCAAGAAAUGGGAAAUACUUUAGCAGACAUAUUGGACUAAGUUCCCAGCCAAGAACCAAAUAAUUUAAAAAAUAUUUAAGUGCAAAGAAACCACUAAGGCAACAUGUAACCUCCUUUUACUAACAAAUAGAUGUACCAAAAAAGCUGGUAUACCAUUUACUAUUUCAGUAUCUGCAGAUGCUGACAACAAACUCUGGUAUGUUACUUACAUUCCUUGAUGUAGGCCCACACAGAUUUCAAAUACAUAAAAUUUGUAUAUAUCUGCCACUGCAUGAUGCUUUUAGACCAUUUUUAAGGAAAUAAGUGCUAUUUCUACUGAAAGAAUGAAUGAGAAAAACAUACAGUCACCUAAAAACUCUUUUGAAGUUAGGCAGAAUUAAAUGAGAAUUGAGGUAAGUGUUACGUAAGAAUUAAACGAGGCAGUAUGCUGCAAUCACAUAGGUCAAAAAAAAAAACCUACCUAUGAGAACAAAAGAGGUAGAAAAAAACAACAAAAACGUUAGUAGUCCAUUCAUUCAUUCGUCAACACAUAUAAAUUGAACACCUGUUACAUACCAGGCACUGUGUUCAGCACAGAGAGAUAUAAUUGCCAUCCUGGGGCUUACAUUCUAGCGGAGGGGACAAACACAACAUUCAAGUCAGCAUGUCACUGGGGCUGACUCCUCUCUCCCUGCUUUUUUCCCUUUUUUCUUCUGUUUACUAUCAACUAUGCUCAUGAAUGUUCGCUUUAAUAAUAUUCAUUUUAAAUGACUGAACUUUUCUCAGAUUUUAAAAGAAAUCAACUAUGCAAACUGAUCAUUAUUUGUCAGGCUCAUUUCCAAUUCUAACAUUCAGAAAUACAAGAUAGAGAGCACUCUAUAAAUUGACCAAGUGCCAGA